rnacentral:rRNA from 1 species
GAGUUUGAUCCUGGCUCAGAGUGAACGCUGGCGGUAGGCCUAACACAUGCAAGUCGAACGGCAGCACAGUAAGAGCUUGCUCUUAUGGGUGGCGAGUGGCGGACGGGUGAGGAAUACAUCGGAAUCUACCUUUUCGUGGGGGAUAACGUAGGGAAACUUACGCUAAUACCGCAUACGACCUUCGGGUGAAAGCAGGGGACCUUCGGGCCUUGCGCGGAUAGAUGAGCCGAUGUCGGAUUAGCUAGUUGGCGGGGUAAAGGCCCACCAAGGCGACGAUCCGUAGCUGGUCUGAGAGGAUGAUCAGCCACACUGGAACUGAGACACGGUCCAGACUCCUACGGGAGGCAGCAGUGGGGAAUAUUGGACAAUGGGCGCAAGCCUGAUCCAGCCAUACCGCGUGGGUGAAGAAGGCCUUCGGGUUGUAAAGCCCUUUUGUUGGGAAAGAAAAGCAGUCGGCUAAUACCCGGUUGUUCUGACGGUACCCAAAGAAUAAGCACCGGC